GACGAACGCUGGCGGUGUGCUUAACACAUGCAAGUCGAACGGUAAGGCCCUUUCGGGGGUCCCCGAUUGGCGAACGGGUGAGUAACACGUUAUUAACCUGCCCUCAUCUCUGGGAUAACAGUCGGAACCGGUUGCUAAUACUGGAUAUGAGCUUGCAAGGCAUCUUGUGGGUUGGAAAGAUUUUUUUGGUUGGGGAUGGACUCGCGGCCUAUCAGCUUGUUGGUGAGGUAGUGGCUCACCAAGGCUUCGACGGGUAGCCGGCCUGAGAGGGCGACCGGCCACAUUGGGACUGAGAUACGGCCCAAACUCCUACGGGAGGCAGCAGUGGGGAAUAUUGCACAAUGGACGGAAGUCUGAUGCAGCAACGCCGCGUGCGGGAUGACGGACUUCGGGUUGUAAACCGCUUUCAAUUGUGACGAAGCUUUUUGUGACGGUAGCAGUAGAAGAAGCACCGGCUAACUACGUG
rnacentral:rRNA from 1 species